rnacentral:lncRNA from 1 species
UCCACUAUGCCUCGUGUUUGGACCUUCUUCUGUCUCGACCAGGUCUCAUAUUAGUUCUUGAUACAUUCUGUUUUAUUUAUUAAACCAUCCGUUAAUAAAACUAGUAAAACUAAUUUCAUAACAUGGUUCCGUCAGAUUCUGACCUACGUGGUUCUUGCUGCUGGAGCUGUGUCUACUGAAGUUCUAUACUUAGCCUACAAAGGAGACGAUGCCAUUACGUGGAGCGAUGCGUGCAGUUCAUUUGGCAGUUUCUGCCAUAAAGCCACUGCUUCUGUUAUAAUCACAUUC